AGGAAUUUAGGAUAACGAAAAUCCAAGAGCCUUCAAAGCCCUUAAUGGAGGUUAAAUCCCUUCAAUUCCUG
rnacentral:tRNA from 1 species